CCAACCUGCUCGGAAAUCAUUCACCCAUGUCUGUUCCGGUCUGGUCAGCUUGGGUAUCGCGUGGCUCCCAUGGAAUCGUGCCUCCCAGAGAUGAGUCAGAAGCACGUGGAGCCCCCGCUCGUGAGAAUGAGUCAUCUAUUGUGAAAUAUCUCACACUAAAGAUGUUACCAUCCUUCGGGUAGACCUUUAGAGGAAGGCAUGGCUUUUUUGACGAGGGAAUCUGACUGGUGAAGCUUUCAUCGUUCACGGUUUGGAAUUGUUGACUAACAGGACAAGACGUCCUAGUACUACAGCACUGAAAUUCACGUCGUUUGACAUUUGAUCAGCUCUUCAGCUGUACCGAGUGCAGAACUGACAGGCUGGAAAGUGGGGACUGGCAGGCCGCUCCCGGAGAGCUUCACACUUCAGGCCAAGUGCUCUUUGACAGACAUGUGCAGGCAGUGUCAGGGGCCAGGAUGCUUCUUCCAUCCUUGUGCUCCAGCACCAUGCGUGGCUAAGCUAAGCUAAAGCUCACAGGUGGCGCCUGUGACAGCAGAAAACCAGCAAGCGGUGCUGUACCAAGGCCAGGAAGAUACUGAAGGACCUCAGCCCUCCAAACAACUCUCCUCGCCUGGCCUCGCCUCUUCUGAAGGACCUCAGCCCUCCGAACAAUGAACUCUCCUCUCUGAGCCGAUCAGGAGAGUGCUUCCACUCCCUGAAGGCCAACACGGAGAGAAUGAUAAAGAGCUUCUUCCCACAAGCUAUUUGGACCCUGAACCAGGAGAUGAAGAGGAGGCUCAGGUGUUCUUUGGGGCUGCUUUGACGCAUAGGCCGAUGUGUUCCUCCCUGCCUCUCCCCUCCUGCCACACACCUUUUCCACAGGG
ensembl:lncRNA